rnacentral:rRNA from 1 species
CUACGGGUGGCUGCAGUGGGGAAUAUUGGACAAUGGGGGAAACCCUGAUGCAGCCAUGCCGCGUGUGUGAAGAAGGCCUUCGGGUUGUAAAGCACUUUCAGUGGGGAGGAAAGGUUGUAAGUGAAUAGCUUACAGCUGUGACGUUACCCACAGAAGAAGCACCGGCGAACUCCGUGCCAGCAGCCGCGGUAAUACGGAGGGUGCGAGCGUUAAUCGGAAUUACUGGGCGUAAAGCGUACGCAGGCGGCCUGAUAAGCUAGAUGUGAAAGCCCCGGGCUUAACCUGGGAACCGCAUUUAGAACUGUGAGGCUAGAGUUUUGUAGAGGGUGGUAGAAUUUCAGGUGUAGCGGUGAAAUGCGUAGAGAUCUGAAGGAAUACCAGUGGCGAAGGCGGCCACCUGGACAAAAACUGACGCUCAUGUACGAAAGCGUGGGGAGCGAACAGGAUUAGAUACCCCCGUAGUC